rnacentral:rRNA from 1 species
UAACAAGGAUUCCCCUAGUAACUGCGAGUGAAGCGGGAAAAGCUCAAAUUUAAAAUCUGACAGUUUCACUGUCCGAGUUGUAAUCUGGAGAAGCAUUUUCCGUGUCGGACCGUGUACAAGUCUCUUGGAAUAGAGCGUCAUAGAGGGUGAGAAUCCCGUCCAUGACACGGACUACCGAUGCUUUGUGAUAUGCUCUCGAAGAGUCGAGUUGUUUGGGAAUGCAGCUCAAAAUGGGUGGUAAAUUCCAUCUAAAGCUAAAUAUUGGCGAGAGACCGAUAGCGAACAAGUACCGUGAGGGAAAGAUGAAAAGCACUUUGGAAAGAGAGUUAAACAGUACGUGAAAUUGUUGAAAGGGAAACGCUUGAAGUCAGUCGCGUUGAUUGAGACUCAGCCUUGCUUUGCAUGGUGUACUUCUCAGUUAACGGGUCAACAUCAAUUUCAGUUGGUGGAUAAAGGCAUUGGGAAUGUGGCACCUUCGGGUGUGUUAUAGACCUUUGUUGCAUACACUGACCGGGAUUGAGGAACGCAGCACGCCACUAAGGCCAGGGGUUCGCCCCAUGUAACGUGCUUAGGAUGUUGGCAUAAUGGCUUUAAGCGACCCGUCUUGAAACACGGACCAAGGAGUCUAACAUGCCUGCGAGUAUUAGGGUGGAAAACCCUUGUGCGUAAUGAAAGUGAAAGUUGGGACCUCUUGCGAGGGCACCGACGCCCGGCCCUGAUGUUUACUGACGGCGCUGCGGUAGAGCAUGUAUGUUGGGACCCGAAAGAUGGUGAACUAUGCCUGAAUAGGGUGAAGCCAGGGGAAACUCUGGUGGAGGCUCGUAGCGAUUCUGACGUGCAAAUCGAUCGUCAAAUUUGGG